GUCAAUGUAUCUCAAUUUGAGAAUUUUUUAGAUAUUAAUAUUAGAAAACAAGACAAAAAACCCUAGGUAAGACAAUAAUUUUUUGCAGUGUGAGGGAGAAGAACCAAGCCCUGAGGGAACGUAGUGAACGAGCAGCUUCGGAUGACAGCGGCUCACUUUUGGCGUUGCUUGACAACACUUUGAGGCAGGAUAAAAAGCUCCAGAAACAAUUUGAGCCAUCCGGAAGAACCCUGCAACCCAGGAUGCCACUGAUUGGGCUGUCCAGGUUAAUGUUACGUGUUACCUGAAAGGAGCAUCUGACCGUAAAGGCGGAAAAAGGCAGCACACAGCUGAGAGGGACCCACAGAUGACCCCUUAAACCGAGGCUGACUACUGACACCCCAGCAUCGCUGACAACUGGAAACAUUUCUUUAUCCUGCAGUCAGUAACAUCAAGAACCCUAAAGAAUCCUGAAGUGUCAAACUACACUGAACCAAUCCACACUUCACUUUGAAAAUUACUAUUCUUUUUUUUUUUCAAAUUCCCUGUGACCCUGCCUUAAGGGCAGCUCCUCGGAAAGAUACGGAAUGGCGAGGUUGUUUGUCCUUUAUACAGGUGCACGAGAUAAAGUACUGAUUAUAAGCGCCUAGUGCUUAUACAUUACAUUCAUGUGGAUCUUUGUUUUAAUAUCUUUAGUGUCUUUUACUGGUUUUUUUUAGUCAUGUGGAUUUUUUUUUUUUUUAAUCAUUCUGUUUAUGUUGGUGUGUGGUGUUAUAAGCUACUGGAACCUUGAAUUUCCCCUUGAGGAUCAAUAAAGUAUUUGUUCAUUUUUCAUUCACAAUAGACAGAUCUUAUUGCAGCAAAGUGAAAAUAUUGUGUUCCAGGUCAGCAGUGCCAUUAUAAUAGUCUAUUCUGGUCCAGAGCUUUACUCUAGGAUAAGUGGCAAUAAUUUAUUGUUAGAAAUGACGAUUUAUUUGGUAUGCUGCUCGUUCUUUGGUACCAAAUAUCCUCAUUACUUGAUAAAAUGUUUACUGAUAGCCUAAUUCUUUUCAUCCCAGAGCGACCUCUAAAUUAUUAACAAUUAUUGUAAAUGUUCUAAUUUGCUUGUAAUGUUUUUUUUUUAACUAGAAUUUAUUUGGAAACCUGCAUGGCUUUAGUAUUUUUUUAUUUUUCAGUUGUUUAUUUCAGUGCUCUUACACAUCUUGUUUCAAUGACUGUAAAUGUACUUUGAAAUGUGGAAUAAAAACUCCAAAUGGGAAU